UACGUAGGGGGCGAACGUUAUUCGGAAUUAUUGGGCUUAAAGGGUGCGUAGGCGGCGCUUUAAGUCGGGUGUGAAAUCCUUCGGCUCAACCGAAGAAUUGCGCCCGAUACUGGGGUGCUAGAGGGAGACAGGGGUGAGCGGAACUGAUGGUGGAGCGGUGAAAUGCGUUGAUAUCAUCAGGAACACCGGUGGCGAAAGCGGCUCACUGGGUCUCUUCUGACGCUGAGGCACGAAAGCCAGGGUAGCGAACGGG
rnacentral:rRNA from 1 species